AUGAACAGUUGCAUCAAAUAUUUAUUCACUGAAUGCAAUGUAUAUCUACGAGAAAAACAACUGCGGCUACUGGCGUUGCUGCUUGAUUGCUUGCAAGAUUAUAGUGCAAUACACAGCAAUUUUCCUUCUCCAUUUCUUAUAUCUACCUAUCUACACUAUCCAGGUAAACUACAGAAAACAGAGGACAAGAACAUGCUCUGCAUGCAUGUUCUUCAGGAGCUACAAACAGCCAAUUUGCUCCAACAGUUAGAAUUGUGCAACCAGUGUAGUGACAAGAAGUCACCAUGGAGCUCAGCAGCGCGUUCUCGACUUCGAAGUGGCAUUUCUCCUGUGCAAGCACAUGACAUACUCCAUCACAAGGCAGUGUGA
rnacentral:rRNA from 1 species